GUGCUCCCUUUGGCAGCACGUAUACUAAAAUUGGAGUGAUACAGAGAAAAUUAGCAUGGCCUCUGAGGAAGAAUGACACACAAAUUCAUGAAGCAUUCCAUAUAUAA
ensembl:snRNA U6 U6 spliceosomal RNA